AGGGCAGAGUCUGUUUCAUGCGUUGCCAAAAGGGCGAACGAAAUAGAGCAAAUUCCGUUAUCUAUCCACACAAAAAUUCAAUCUUUUCGCAUUCUCUCAAUCCUAGAUAUCCAUCGUUUUCUCUGAAUCGAUAUCUUUGCUCUUCGAGAAAUUUUGCUUGUUUUUUUGAUUCGGAGGUUUUUUCAAAACGAAUUUUCUAGGGUUUUUUUUUUGAGAAUUCAUCAGCCAUGGUUUACGAUUCGAUCGCCAACGCUUCGAUCCCGACUUCGGUUUCCAAUCCGAAGGAAAUUGGCAAGAAAAAGCGGGUGAAUAGGACCGUCAAAUUUAAGCAGAGCAAACUUCAUGUUCGUCGUGAACAGUGACUUUCUCAAGAUGUAUUGCUCUUAUGGUUAAUCAAAAAAAAAUCUUAUAGGGAAGAACAAGGGGUUUACGGAAGAAAACAAAGGCAAUGUUCGUGCAAAAAUGCCAGACAUGCAUACCCCAAACAAGGGAGAUCGAUCACUAGUAAAAUUAGUGAUUAAUUAUGGUGGUGAAGAGAACGAUGGUCUGAUGAAUCAUUACAGAGAUUCCAAUAACCCUACUAGUCAUACAAGCAGCUUGGGGAGUAACAGAUCAGUGACUAAUUUCACAAGUAGUAGUAGCCGGAGCAGAAACAGUAGCAAUGGUGGUUGUUAUUCAGAAAGUAUGACAGAAGAAGGUGAUGGUGACGAUGGAUGCCACCAUCGAAUUGAUUAUCCCCACUCCUUCUGCUAGAAUGUAAGUGGAUAUUUUAAUUGUAAUUGCAUAAUUGGCCUUUUUUAGGGUGUUUGUGUAUUUUGUAUAUGGUUGUAACCAUUCAUGACAAUUCUUACACCUUGGAGGUUUUAUUAUUAGUGGUUACAACAGCUAGUACAUGCUUCGAUGGCAAGUUUUUGCUUUGUGGUGGAAGAGACAUCUUGUGGGUGUAUCUAUAAUGCUCUCUACUUCCUUCAGUUAUAUCAGCAUUGUCUUUACUCUCAUGUCAAAGCCUUUAUCUCAUGCUGCACAAGAGCAUUUGUAACUUAUUCUACAACAGUUUCUUUUUUAAAUGUAAUUAUCUUUUUAUACUCUUUAUUAGCUGAUUAUUCUGACAUGCAUUUUCUUUCGAAUUUACAGCCUGCACCGGACAAUUUGUGGGAAUGUUCACUAACCUUAAUGGUGCAUGCAACGCUUAUGUAUCUUAAUCAACACAAAGCUUGAGAUCACUUCUAAAAGAACAAGUGGAUAUACAAGCACUUGCACAUGCUGUUGAGCUUACAAGACAAGGGGCAGUUGACAGCUUAAAAUUUGCAAAGGGUGAUCUAUUCCAAGCAUUUCAAAAUGAAGUGUGUCGGAUGAGAUUAGACAUCACCAUGCUUGAUGAACUUAUUCAUGAGUAUUGUGUGUAUAGGGGCAUUGUCAGCUCUGGUGCUCCAAACCCUUCAUGUGAAGGAAUGAAGAUAGGACAUGAACCAUCGGAAUCGGAAUCCGCUUUAUCUGUUGAAGCCAGAAGUGGAUCCAAUAAGCUUGUUGAUGCUGACAUGGAUUCACCUGGCACUGAAGAACGAUACCCAUGUGGCACAAUGAGCAACAACCAUGAAGACUGUAGUACAAGUGGCAACAAGUGAGCAACAACCAUGUUUUUUUAAUGCAUUUAGCUUAUGAACUUUUAGGUUAAAUACAAGGAUGUAAGGAGAGUCAAUCAACUUCCAAUUCCUAUUACAAUAUUGAAAUAAAGGAUGAGUAUCUUACUCCCUGGAUACUUAGUUGUAAUUAAGUUGAAUGGAUAUGCCAUAUGUAGGUGGUUAUAGUCAUGAAAUACACUAGUUCUAGUAAUAUUUUGUAAAGAAAAUAUGAGCAAGUUUCAAGAUAAUAGAACACAUUUAUUGGAAGCUAAUAUGAGGUUUGAUUGAUUGUAUUGGGUUUAGUUAUUGUAAUUUUAUUCAAACAUUAUCACUGAAAUAAUUAAGUAUUUUUUUAAUUUAUAGCAA